rnacentral:lncRNA from 1 species
GCAUCCCACCACACCUCGGAGGAUCUGGUGCCUGGAGCACUGUGUUUUCCCUGCUGGACCCGUCCUGAGCAUUAUUAUUUGGGCCAUGCUUCCCGGGUUUUAAAUUAUUCUGUCUCAACUAGCUGAUGGCAUUUGUUACAUGUCAUGCAAUGUUCCUGGUAAUUAAUUGGUAUUUAAUUAAUUAAGGGAUAAUGGCAUUCAAUUAAGGGAUGCCUGUGGAACACUGUCACUGGGUAAUUAAUGGCUUCCUGCUGCUCAAGCAAAGCUGAGGCAUUUGUGGAAAAUAAAUAGAGGAGAAGCUGAGAUGUUUGUUCCCUUGGCAGGAGGCUGGUCAUGUCCCAGAGCUCUCGGAUUCUCCAGGACCCCAUUUCCAGACCUCUGUCCAGGGCGAGCCAGGCUUUUCCCCCCAGCACACUUGAGAUUGCUGCCACUGACAUCCAGGAGCAUCUUUUCUGCUCCACUUGGGUAACAGGACCAGGAUGCAAGGAAGCUCUCUGGGAUGGAGGAAGGCCAAGGGAAUUUCCACUGCAAAAUUAAAGCCUAUGAGCUGCGGAGGUGUAGAGGAUGGACGUGAUGGAGCCUACACACUUUCCUGAGACCUCUGGGAUGGAAGGUAAUGUGGAAAUGGAAACUCUAAUUACAGAUCCAGCAAGCUCCACUUUCUAAUUAAUUGCAGAUUAAAGUAAAAAUAGAACUGGUUAUGUAAAAUAAACCUAAAAGCCCCAGUCUACCUGGUUACACAAUACCCAGAACAAUGAUCUCUGCUGAGGCUUAGUUCAGGGUGAAAAUGCUCCAGGUGUGGUUUUUGAAGACACGCAGAGCAAAAUGGGGCCACUUCUGCUGGGAACCACUGUUCACAUCCUAAUGUGGGGCUGGUGCCCAUGCCCUGCUCUGUGCCUGGGAAGGGGCUCCCCAGUCCCCCCACUGCACCCCCUGCCGUAGGCAGAAGGCUCAUCCAUCAGCUCAUGGACACCACUCAUCAUCCUGGAGGUCCCAAAAUGCUUUAAAGCCCACCUAGUGCAGUUCCCAGGGCAAAUCCCACCUCUGGAGUGAGGACACAACAUGAAUCUCCCUGUGGAUCCGACAGUGCUGGCUGUUCUUCAGCAUUGUUUCCCAGGCAGGGUUGCUGUUGUGCCACAACCUCCCCC